CCCUUAGAUGUCCUGGGCCGCACGCGCGUUACACUGAUGCAUUCAACGAGCUUAUAACCUUGGCCGAGAGGCCUGGGCAAUCUUGUUAACGUGCAUCGUGAUAGGGAUAGAUUAUUGAAAUUAUUAAUCUUGAACGAGGAAUUCCUAGUAAACGCAGAUCAUCAAUCUGCAUUGAUUACGUCCCUGCCCUAUGUACACACCGCCCGUCGCACCUACCGAUUGGAUGGUCCGGUGAAGCCUCGGGAUUGUGGUUCUUGCCGCUUUAUUGUGGCGUGACCGCGAGAACUUGUCUAAACCUUAUCAUCUAGAGGAAGGUGAAGUCGUAACA
rnacentral:rRNA from 1 species